rnacentral:rRNA from 1 species
UACGGAGGAUGCAAGCGUUAUCCGGAUUUAUUGGGUUUAAAGGGUGCGCAGGUGGUUUGAUAAGUCAGUGGUGAAAGUCUGUCGCUUAACGGUAGGAUUGCCAUUGAUACUGUUAGACUUGAAUAUGGAUGAGGUAGGCGGAAUGUGUAGUGUAGCGGUGAAAUGCAUAGAUAUUACACAGAACACCGAUUGCGAAGGCAGCUUACUAAUCCAUCAUUGACGCUGAGGCACGAAAGCGUGGGGAUCAAACA